rnacentral:other from 1 species
AAUUUCCUGCUGUGUUCGCGACGCCUGGCCAUGGAGCCCGCUCCGAUAAUUCAGUAGAGGAGGUUUUGCCGUUCAGACCGAUGCCAGGCCUUUUCAGGAAGGCAGAAGCUGGGAUGGCGGCCGCCACCUUUGUAGAGCCUUGGGAACGAGUCGCUCUCGGCCAUAGACGGCACAAGCGGGAUUCCA